UUGGAGCAGCAAGCCUUCCCAGGCAGAGCGGCAGGACACUCUCCUACAAGGCAGGAAGGGGGACAACAUGGAUGGUGGUCUGGACGGAGGGCCGAAUCAUGAAGAGGACUCUAUGGUUCCUGAAAUCAGGCAUAUCUGCAGACAGAGAAGGUGGCGGGAGAGGUAUCACCAGCAGAGGGAUGAGAAAACUAAUCCCUGAGAUGGCCAGCAGCAGGUGCCGCUCUGGAAUGCCAUCAUAUCCGGGAGCCCUGCAGUUGUACAUGGCAAGAUUGAAAUGCUGACUUCAUCAAGGGAUGGGGCUGUGUCCUUGUUGUCAUUACAUGUUGGAUGAUCUACUACUCUUAUUAGUGCCUUGUCUGUAAUGUUAGACAGCGCGUUCAAAACAUCACUGAAAUGCUGUUGCCACCUCUGAAAUAUUUCUCCUUUGUCAGGAUCAGUGUUAGGCCAUCCACGCUCUUCAGGGGCACUGUAAGGGUAUGCGUCAGACCAUACACGUCUUUAAAAGCAGCAGAGAAAUCUUUGGUCUCCUGGUGGUUGGCGUAGCCUUGGACUUCAUCUGCCAUAGUGUUCCACCAUUCUCAUCAAACCAAUCUUGAUGGUGGAUCAAGCUGCUGUAAUGUUAUUACAGAGCUCCACUUCAUCUUGUAAGCAUGUUAUGUUGAGCCUUCUGAUUGCUUUAGACGAUGACUUGCGAUACAAUGGUUGAAUGACUAAUAACAGUUUCGAGAGAUCAUGUGAUGGUCUUUCCAGAAUUCUGCCCUUCCAUGCUUGCAGUGGUUUGUACAUCUUGUAGAUCUUACCACUGGAGAAUGAUGUAGUGGAUAA